rnacentral:rRNA from 1 species
GUAUGCGUAGAAGUGUUUGGCGUAAGACUGCAUGGAGCCAUUAUUGGUACAGAUCUUGGUGGUAGUAGCAAAUAAUCGAAUGAGACCUUGGAGGACUGAAGUGGAGAAGGGUUUCGUGUGAACAGUGGUUGAUCACGAGUUAGUCGGUCCUAAGUUCAAAGCGAAAGCUGAAUAUUUUCAUGUUAUUUUAAUAUGAAUUAUUAAUAAUAAUAUACAUGAAUUUAUGAACGAAAGGGAAUACGGUUCCAAUUCCGUAACCUGUUGAGUAUACGUUUGUUAUUAAAUAUGGGUAUUUAUACUCAUCCUGGUAACAGGAACAACCAUAGAGAAGCCGUCGAGAGGUAUUGGAAGAGUUUUCUUUUCUGUUUUAUAGUCGUAUUACCAUGGAAGUCUUUCGAAGAGAGAUAUGGUAAAUGGACUAGAAGAGCAUGGUAUUUACUGCUGUGUCGAUACUUUCUCCUCGGACCUUGAAAAUCUAUGGUGGGGCUACGCAAACUUCUCAACAGGCCGUACCGAUAUCC